rfam:Schistosoma mansoni, Puerto Rico, WGS project CABG01000000 data, contig: 0153
GCACUGCUGACGAGUCCCAUAAUAGAACGAAAAGGUUGUCCAGUGC